AGAUCUCUGGCCCUGCCAUCUACCACUUCCAGCAGGUUGAGGCCCGCGGUGCCGUGUUCUGGGAGCCCUUGCUGUUCGCCAUCGCUCUUUGCGAGGCCUACAGAGUUGGACUUGGGUGGGCUACUCCCCGCUCCGAGGACUUCAACACCUUGAGGGACGACUACGAGCCCGGCAACUUGGGCUUCGACCCCUUGGGUCUCCUCCCCUCUGACCCCGCCGAAAGGAAGGACAUGCAGACCAAAGAGCUCAACAACGGGCGUCUUGCCAUGAUUGC
rnacentral:lncRNA from 1 species